rnacentral:rRNA from 1 species
AGAAUCAACGCUGGCGGCGUGCCUAACACAUGCAAGUCGAACGAGAAAGUGGAGCAAUCCAUGAGUAAAGUGGCGACCGGGUGAGUAACACGUGACUAACCUACCUUCGAGUGGGGGAUAACCUCGGGAAACCGAGGCUAAUACCGCAUAACAUCGUGAGAUCAAAGCAGUAAUGCGCUGGAAGAGGGGGUCGCGGCUGAUUAGCUAGUUGGCGGGGUAAUGGCCCACCAAGACGAUGAUCUGUA